GGGUGGCCGACGCGGCAGGGCGCGGGAGGCGGCCUGCGUGGGAGGGCGGCAAGCACGGGAGGAGGCGGCCGGCGCAGGAGGAGGCCAACACGGCAGGAUUCCAUCCUCCCAACCAAACAAAAAAAGGGAUAACCCUACCCUUCCAACCAAACAAAAAAAGGGCUAUCCCUAGCCACCUGGUUGGGGAUACCCACAACCACCCUAGCCUAUCCCUCCA
rnacentral:lncRNA from 1 species